AGUUGUUUUAUCUGGGGUAUACCUUGUCUUGAAAAUAAGGUAAAAGUGUUCGAUUCACUUGGCAACUU
rnacentral:tRNA from 1 species